rnacentral:rRNA from 1 species
UACGUAGGGGGCAAGCGUUGUCCGGAUUUACUGGGCGUAAAGAGCGUGUAGGCGGCCAAGCAGGUCCGUUGUGAAAACUGGAGGCUCAACCUCGAGACGUCGGUUGAAACCGUCUGGCUAGAGUCCGGAAGAGGAGAGUGGAAUUCCCGGUGUAGCGGUGAAAUGCGCAGAUAUCGGGAAGAACACCCGUGGCGAAGGCGGCUCUCUGGGACGGUACUGACGCUGAGACGCGAAAGCGUGGGGAGCGAACAGG